UACGGGGGGGGCUAGCGUUGUUCGGAAUUACUGGGCGUAAAGCGCACGUAGGCGGCUUUGUAAGUUAGAGGUGAAAGCCCGGAGCUCAACUCCGGUAUUGCCUUUAAGACUGCAUCGCUCGAAUCAUGGAGAGGUGAGUGGAAUUCCGAGUGUAGAGGUGAAAUUCGUAGAUAUUCGGAAGAACACCAGUGGCGAAGGCGACUCACUGGACAUGUAUUGACGCUGAGGUGCGAAAGCGUGGGGAGCAAACAGG
rnacentral:rRNA from 1 species